ensembl:lncRNA
GCGACGCCUCAGGUGGUGAGGUUCCUUAACGGUUGCCCCUUUGAUAUAAAACUCCCGAGUUGCUUCUUUGCAGCUGGGUCCUCCUUCCUGCGUCAUGUGUUGGUGGUGUGUCCUAGCUCGGGAUUGUCAUUAGCCAAAGGCCAGAAGUUACCUUCCGCUGGUGGUCGUCACUACCACUCUGUUCCCUGCAACACACUUCGAACAAAUUGCCGUGCUGGCCCACGUGUCGGGCAUCGCUGAACGUCCGUCUGAUUCCGGUUUGUCUGGAUCCAUAUUAAGACGACAGGCAUUGGCACAAUUUCCCAGCAGGCGAUGUGACAUGUUCUGGCGACAGUCGCGGAUUUAUUUUCCCUCUAAUGAAACACAAUGGUGGAAAUGCAGAUGACCAGGAGGCCAGGAGGGGAGUAGCCCAGGGAUACAUACUGAGAGGCUGUAGUCCCCACUGGCUUCAAGAAAAACAUUGUUGCCCUGAUGCCUUCAACCAUCGAUGAGGAAAAUAAAGGCUUCAUACCCAUAGCCCUUUCCCCUGUCACAAUGAACAGAGACCAAUCAGCCUGUAGGGAGGAAGAAGCAAGACUGCGGAGGAGAGAUUCCACUUCACGAAGGACUUGAUGUGGUCCAACAACACCAGCACCCAUGUUGACACAAUUGCUCCUUCCGUUAGCAUUGGGCAAUGGUACUGGAGCAAAGGGUCCGAUAGCAACAGGCUCAGAGACAUUUUCUACAGACACAGACACACAAACCCACACAGGAAUAUUUUAAAGGAAUAUUUUACUGAUCCAUUUACACGUUUUCUAUUAUUUCUAAUUGUUGUAUAGCCCAAAGAAACUUGCGAAUCAAAGUUUUGUUGGAUGGUAUAUAAUGUUUGCAUCCUUUAGAUGCAACUUAUUAUUGUCCAUUACCGGUUGCACAAAUUGUAACAAUGUAAAUGUGAGCAGUUGUUAAAAUCCAUGGAAGUGUUUUCUUGUGUUCAUUAAAUACUCAAUAAAC